rnacentral:lncRNA from 1 species
AAUAAUCAGAAAUUGUCUAAAUAUAUUGUAAGGCAGUAAGGGAGCCUGAGGCAUCCAAAUGUCUGAUCCUUGUCUCUGCAUUCUUUUUUUUUUUUUUUUUGCCCGAGAAUCCUGCCGUUGGUGAGCCAAAUUCCCUUAGGAAGAGAGAGCUUGUCUGGUGUGUUUCCUGUCAAGCAGCUGUGUGGGUGUUGGCUCAGCUCCCACAGAGCUCUCCUGGGAUCAGGAUUUCUCCUUUCCUAGCUGGUUCCUACUGCUAGGGGAGGAGAGGCUGGGAGGGGAGGACUGGGCUGUCUCCUGCUUCAGCCAACAAGGAGUCUCCUCCAGGCUGGAGUGCAGUGGCGUGAUCUUGGCUCACUGCCACUUCCACCUCCCGGGUUCAAGUGAUUCUCCUGCCUCACCUUGCUGAGUAGCUGAAACUACAGGUCUGGCACUCUACUGCUUCCUUAUCAACAAUGAAGCAAGAAAACCAGUGCAAGCCAGGAUGCAGUGGGUCAAGGCCUGGUUCUGUUGCCUUGUGAUUUCGG